GAUGAAGAACGCAGCGAAAUGCGAUAAGUAAUGUGAAUUGCAGAAUUCAGUGAAUCAUCGAAUCUUUGAACGCACCUUGCGCUCCUUGGUAUUCCGAGGAGCAUGCCUGUUUGAGUGUCAUUAAUAUAUCAACCUCUUCAGCUUAUGCUUGUUGAGUGUUGGAUGGUGGGGGUUUGCUGGUGUCUUAUGAAGUCAGCUCCUCUGAAAUGCAUUAGCGGAACAAUUUGUUGACCGUUCAUUGGUGUGAUAAAAAUAUCUACGCUAUUGACGUCAGUCAGUUCAGCUUCUAACAGUCCAUUGACUUGGACAAAUUUUUCAUUAAUGUGACCUCAAAGCAGGUAGGACUACCCGCUGAACUUAAGCAUAUCAAUAAGCGGAGGA
rnacentral:misc_RNA from 1 species